rnacentral:rRNA from 1 species
CGGGCGUCUUAACAUGCAAGUCGAGCGGCAGGCAGCAAUGCCGAGAGCGGCGGACUGGUGAGUAACACGUGGAUAACGUACCCCGAUGUCUGGGACAGCCUGUAGAAAUAGAGGGUAAUACCGGAUAGAUCACUGUUUACGUGAGGUAGACAGCGGGAAAGGAGCUUCGGCUCCGCGUCGGGAACGGUCUGCGGCCCAUCAGCUAGACGGCGGGGUAAGUGCCCGCCGUGGCGAGGACGGGUAUCCGGCCUGAGAGGGCGGACGGACACAUUGGGACUGAGAUACGGCCCAGACUCCUACGGGAGGCAGCAGGUAAGAAUAUUCCGCAAUGGGGGGAACCCUGACGGAGCGACGCCGCGUGAACGAAGAAGGCCGGAAGGUUGUAAAGUUCUUUUCUGUUCGAGGAAUAAGUUUCGGAGGAAAUGCCGGGACGGUGACGGUAGGGCAGGAAUAAGCACGGC